UACAGAGGUCUCAGCGUUGUUCGGAUUCAUUGGGCGUAAAGGGUGCGUAGGCGGCGCGGUUAAGUCGGGUGUGAAAUCUCGGGGCUUAACUCCGAAACUGCAUUCGAUACUGCCGUGCUUGAGGAAUGGAGAGGAGAUGGAAUUUGACGGUGAGCGGUGAAAUGCGUAGAUAUCGAUAAGGAAGACCGUGGCGAAGCGGGUCU
rnacentral:rRNA from 1 species